GUGAAAAAAAGGCCCACCCUCCAGCUCACAUCCCUAAUCACCCCACGACACAGUGUCAAAUUAGCAAGCGAAAAGGACAAUGUUUAUCUUUCUGCUGUUCGCGUCGGACGGGUGCCGAAACGUGUGCCAAAUAUUCUCCCAACGGUUGGUGGCGCACCUGCGGCGGCACCGGCGGAAGCGAGCGGAACGGCAAGCGGCCAAACCUGCGCCCUCACCCGACCCCCCCACAACACACAUCGCCCACGGAUCCUGGCGGGCGUGCGUGCGAGCGUGGAUCAAGGACCUUUGUGCUGGGGCGUCCUGUGUGCCACCCCCCACGCCCACAGGUGGGGGUGUGUGCGUGGAGGAGCCCGGUUCCGCGGGCCUACGGACACUCGCCAAGCUGCUGUUCCAGAAGCUGCUGCACCAGGCGUGAUCCUGCCGGUGGAUGGCAACAACCCCUUGGAGUGACCGGAUCGGAUGAGAUGUGCGGUAUUGUGCUUUUUUGCCGACCACGUCGGUGGCCGGCUAUGGAUGAGGAGGAGUAUUACAGGUGUGGAUGUCAUGGAGUUUUUACGGGGUGCGUUAUGGAAGGUGAUCAGAUUGGAAAGUUUUAUCAACAAAUUGGACGCUAGUCCGCAACCCGCUUUUCCUUUUCGUCUCGUAGUGUUACAUAUAUCGUGCUCUACUUCGUGAAUGUUCUAUGGUAAACAACAACAGCAAAAAAAAAUCAUCGACUAAAUGCGCCAACGCGUUCCAUGUACGUUUGCUUAUUGAUUGUGUUCUUGCUACUAGGAGAUGGUUUAAUAGUUUGUAAAAAAAACGGAAAAUAAAACAAAUACAUUGUGAAAUGAAAUAAACGAUGCUAAAUAUAACGUUUCCA